rnacentral:antisense_RNA from 1 species
AUCUCGCUAGAGGAAAAAGGAAAUAGAACCUCCGCAACUUGCGCCUUGGAAAUACUGCCGGCUAGCGCUGCCGGAAACGCCUCCCCUUAACUCUGAAGUUCCGCGAUCUUCUCUUUGUGGGCGGGCGGAUGGAUCAACGCCGCCAAGUGGGGAAAGCACGAACACAGUCCCCCACUACAACAAAUUAUGCAGUCGAGUUUUCCACAUUUGGGGAUAUCGCAGGGGUCAGCACAUCCGGAGUGCAAUCGAUGAGCCUCACACUGGGAAAAACCACCUUCGUGAUCAUGAUAUCUUCCCUGCCAGAGAGAAACCAAUCAGCUUCAUUUUCAACUUCUUCUAUGACUCCAGAGGAUUCACUUUGCAUCUUGUGACAAAUGAAGAUAUUACCUGGAAAAAAAAAAAAGACAGGAUAGAUAUUGAAGAAAUAAUUUUUUAUAGGACUCUGGAGUGAAGGGAUUAAUAUUGACCAGAGCCAAUGAGGUCAUCUCAUCCUUGAGGGGUGCAGGUGUGAGCUUCAAAUGCUUAGGGCCUCUGGAAGGAAGCUUCCCUGUUGGAGAAAUCGCCAACCGGCUCAGCAUGCUCUGAAUGAGGAUGACAAAAGGAGUUGCUGCACAGGGGGAAAGCGAAGUUCCCAGGAGUAAGAUGUGCAAGAAGGAGGCAGUCUUGCAUCUCAGGGCUGAUUCCCUAAACUCUGUGCUUGAGGGAAGUUCUCCCCUUGCAGACACACUGCUGAGUGACAAGGAAGCGCCUAGACUCCACUCUGACCAGACUUGGUUCUGAGGCCUAUGAAAUGUUGAUGGGAAGAACAGAAGCAGGAAAAUCUAUCUAUUCAAAUUUGCAAGAGGUGGAAACUUUUAUUCACCUUCCUGGAUAGACUGUUCCUUUGUCAAAGUAAAGCUAAGGCCAUGGAAAAUGAGCUAUUUGAGAGUCUGUCGCUCCAAGGAAGAACAUGCUGGCCUAAUUGUCCCCCAAGUCAGGAGAGAGAAUUGUAAAAAGCACUUAAACAGGCCUAAGUAAAAGUCCAGCACAUUAUUCAUUUAAGACUGAAUUAGGACUGAGUCAUUCCAACUGAAAAAAGAGUGUUGUUGGAUUCUUAUAUAUUCGAUGGGUCUGCCCUAUUGAAAACCAUUGUGAAGUCUGGUUUCCCAAGCAAGAAGUGACACUUUCACUGUCAGUCUUUCUAGGAAUCUGGCAGAAUCCAGGACUAGGAUUACCCUUAUUUAUGAAGCGACCUUAGACUAACAGUGGCUCUCUGGGCCUGCAGACAAUUGGCCAGGGACUCUAAAAACCAGAAACAAAGUUGAGAGAACUCCAGGCUGGUGGAGAAAAACAGCUGGCGUUUAUUACCACAAUGAGCCCCAUAGAAGCAACAAAGCAGCAAGCGAUGUUCUUAAACAAGGGCCUGUGGGCCUUGUCAAGAUCUGGAGGAGUCAUCUACAACUCACUGCUGAGUGAGAGGGCUAGGCAGUGUCUUUAAGGUCCUGCCAGCUUUAACACUGUAUGCUUUUUCUUUUGUUCAAUCUCUCACCACAACUGGAAGUGUUGCCUCAACUACACAGGAAAAGUUUGCAGUAACUUAGAGAAAACAUUAUUUUAAUCACCAGUGUAUGUUCUCCGGCUCCCUGGACAAAUCCAUCAGCAGCGGCAACACUGACCAGGUCCAGACUGGGGCCACUGCAGUGGAUGUGAAUCCAUUGAAACCAGGGGUCUCCAGUGCUCCUGA